rnacentral:lncRNA from 1 species
AUUUCAGGGCCGUCCUCCCUGCUUCAGAGGCUCAGCCAGCUAUAGUGUUUAGAAGGAACCAAGCUGAGAAGGGGAAGCUGAGAGCUGAAAUAACCUGGCUGAGGCCACGAAACAAGGGAAGUCAGCCUUCAGUGGCCUGGGGCACCUAAAGCCUUGGCUGCCCUGCCCAGCUUUAUCCUCUAUGACACGCUUGAGAAAUGGAGAGGAUGAAACGGAUGGAAUGGUGUGCACGUGUGCACGUUUACUCAUCCAAAGUUGCUGUUCAUCAACCUUUUUCACCCUGCGUGUGCAAGAAAUUAGUCUGUUGCCUGGCUCUUAACUGUCAAAACAAAUUCCUGCUAAACAGAGGGAAAAAAUCUUCAUGGAAAUAAAAUUCCUUCGAUUUUUUAUGCAUCAAAUACUUCUUGAGCACCUAUUCUAUGCCAGAGACUGUGGUAGCUCAGGGAAUAUCGCUGAGAACAAGCCAUGCGUCGUCCUGCC